rnacentral:misc_RNA from 1 species
CUGACUUGCAUUCUUUUGGAAAUACCAAGACAUCCUUGACCUUUAUGGGAGAAAUUGCUAAUGCUCCAUUUAGAAUAACCUUCUUCAUCAAGUUGAUGACAUUCAUACACAGCCUUUGCUUUUCUCCUUUCCCCAACUGAUCUUACUCAAAAUUACAUAGGCACUUGGUGAUUUCUCACAGAUUAUAGUCCUCAUUAAUUGUUCCCAAUCAGAACCUAUUAGUACACAUUUUCCUUGGUAAUAGUGCCUUCAAAACUCCCCUGGGUUAGUAAAAGCUAAAAUGACCUAAAAUGCAAUGGGC